AGUGGAUCUAUGUGCAAAUUCAAGUUCUAUGAUAUGUCUCAAACACAGGCAAUGUAGAAAAUAAGGAACUUUUUUUAACAUAUUUGAACAGAAAUUCACUUACCUUGUUUAUCAGUUGUUUGCAUUAUUAGACCUCUUUCUGAAUUUUAUGACCCUGAAAGAUUGAUAUCAAUAGUCACUCUUCAAGUAUCCACUCUCCUUUGACCUUUUGAGAGAGAUUAAUUUGGCUGAUCACAUUUAAACGAACAUCACUCAGUGGCAACAAAACAAGUUUUAUUAGUCUGAAGUCAACAUUGACUUAAAUUGUAUUGGAUUCUGCUGUUGAUUAUAGUUGGUUCAGAGGAUGUCAGUUGAGUAAAUGGAUCUCUAAUGUGUCCCAGGAUUCGGUUGUGUUCACAUUAUAGACUAUAUAUAAAGGUUCAAGCUCCACUCCAGCCACAGUCAACCAAGGUGUGCUGCCAGGCUCAGUGCUGGGCGGGCCCCCUGUUUUUCACAAUCUACAUCCUCCCGCUUGGUCGUAUCAUCCAUCCACGUUCACUCAUUUACUCACCACUAUGCCGAUGGAGGGGUGGAUGAAGUGUUUGAUUCUGCAAAAUACGUUAGGAGUAUCAGGGGUAAACAUUGUUGCAGCAGAAUCCAAUACAAUUGAAGUUAAUGGUGAAAUAGUCUUAAGACACAAUGUAAAUUACCUUGUUUAGGCAACUAGAUUUAUGUUUGACUCAAAAACAAUAAAUUACAGACAAACACACAGCUAAAGAGCAAGCCGGCUCAGAUGACCAAGUGAACCAGGAGAAAUAAAAUAACAUGACUUUGCAACAUCUACACUCGUUACUGCAAUACAAAACCCCGUGAAAUGGUUGCUCAAACCCCUCUUCAGCAAUUAGGUAGAACAUCUAUAGUUACAACACUGUCACCAGAGUCCCAUAAAGGGGAUUUUAACUUUUGAUCUUUAUUUCUACUUUUGUAUAUUGUUUACAAUUAGUUAUUCUAUAUUGCUGUAAAGUAUCAAUCCCACUAUAUUAAAGGGGACAUAUUAUGAAAAUUCCACUUUUGUAGUGAUUCUACACAUUAGUUUGGGUAUCUGUCAUGUCUACCUUCCCAAAAACUCCCGCGAUUUGUUGUGGUUCCUCUAUUUCAGAAACUGUGUUCUAGAGUGCGUCCAAUGGAAUUACGACCGAAAUAGACGCAACAUGCCCAUGCCCCCAUAGAUCUAUGCACUCCCCCACUACCACUCGACCCACCCAUGGAUGGACCCACCCACUUUUUAGACAGUCUAUCGGUGUCCGGCAGCCAUUUCAUUCUUGCAAGCCUUGGAAACACUUGGAUAAGCUAACUAGCAGCAUGAAUCGAAUUCGACAACCGAGAUGCUCAGUGGUCAGCUGCACAAUUGUCUUCAUGUGACUCCAGCUUCAGAAUACACAAGAUUGAGAUAGAUUGAGUUCAUAUAUGAUGGCAACGUUCCUGCCACCACUUUGAAUCGGACUGUUUUAUCAACCUGGGCCAAUAUAACGCCGGAUUCUCUAAAUAGGUUGUUAUUGAAAGAGGGGUCGGUGCGAUAUUUCCAUCGCAAUACUGAAGACGAGGGAAAUGCAAGCACAUCUGUUCACGGUGCUAGGCUACAUCACGUAGCAUGCCAGACAGACCCACCACAGAUGCGAACACAUGGAAUGCAGCUUUCUAUGAAAACACUACGACCUCAAAAGUACAGGCACACAGAAAACUGUGCUGCACUGAUGUGGGUGUUGGGACCUCAGCUGUAAGAGGCCUCGCUUGGAGGAGGGAGAGGACAACCCAAGUUGUUCAAGUAUGGACUUCGGAGAGCCACAGGAUGCUACCUAUGAUCCUGAUGACUCGAUCACAGUCUUGACUGAGUCAGCAGCUGUGACAAUGGAAUCUUCCAACCCUGUUCAUAAGACACCCACAUAUAUUGUCUAUGAAAACUGCCUCCUGGAGCUGUUUGAGGUGUGUCCUGUGUGUCGGCGGGGGACAGAUGUAAUAUAUAAGAAGGGCGAAGCCGGUGAAAGCAGAUGCAGCCUUCCGUGAUUCUCACAGGCUCUAUUUAAAAGCCAAACAAUGUACAAACAAUUACGUGGAUAACCUGUUGGACCUCAUCUUUCACAAGGUUUUUCAGGACCCGGCCCCAUAAGUGAAUGAGGUGCUGAAGAUCUCAAAACCUGAGGAUCUCUCUGGUAUGAGAAACCUGACAAGCAGGAAGUUAUAGCCAGCUAUGUGUUGAGUUUCAAUCAAGGGCAGGUCUGAACCCUGUAUAACUUCCCUGAGCAUCAGGGAACACUCUGCGUAUCUGGAGCACCGAGCAGGAGGGCAGGACCACCCUGAAUCUCCGGCCCAGAUGGCCUCAACACCAGCUCACUAAGCUUCUGUACGCCAAAUACCUCUAACGGCUGUUGCAAAGUUUACAUUGAAUUUAGAGAAUAAAAGGUGACACACAAAUAUAAAGUGUUCCUUUGUUUACAGUAUGGCUACUGAUGACACAAAUUGUAUUUUUGUAAUCAAUGUUUUUAUUAUACUUGGUAUUUUUGUAACCAUAUCAACUGUUGUGAAAUGGGCAUAAUAUGUCCCCUUUAAGUUAAUGUUUGUCCUAAUUGUGUGCCAUACAAAUACAAUUAAAUUGAAUA